AGUGAACGCUGGCGGCAGGCCUAACACAUGCCAGUCGAACGGCAGCACAGUAAGAUCUUGCUCUUACGGGUUGCGAGUGGCGUACGUGAGAGGUAUGUAUCGUAAUCUACUUUUUCGGGGAGGUUAACGUAGGUAAACUUACUCUAAUACCGCAUCCGACCUACGGGUGAAAGCAGUGGAUCUUCGGACCUUGCGCGAAUGAAUGAGCCGAUGUCGGGUUAGCUAGUUGGCGGGGUAAAGGCCUACCAAGGCGACGAUCCGUAGCUGGUCUGAGAGGAUGGUCACCCACACUGGAACUGGGCCGCGGUCCAGACUCCUACGGGAGGCGCCAGUGGGGAAUAUUGGACAAUGGGCGCAAACAUGAUCCAGUCAGACCGCGUGGGUGGAGGCAGCCUUCGGGUUGUAAAGACGUUUUGUUGGGAAAGAAAAGCAGCAGGUUAAUACCAAGCUGGUCUGACGGUACCCAAAGAAUAAGCACCGGCUAACUUCGUG
rnacentral:rRNA from 1 species